rnacentral:piRNA from 1 species
UGAUGGAGUAAAGUCGUUGUGUGAGGUC